GUAACACGUGGGUAACCUGCCUGUAAGACUGGGAUAACUCCGGGAAACCGGGGCUAAUACCGGAUGCUUGUUUGAACCGCAUGGUUCAAACAUAAAAGGUGGCUUCGGCUACCACUUACAGAUGGACCCGCGGCGCAUUAGCUAGUUGGUGAGGUAAUGGCUCACCAAGGCAACGAUGCGUAGCCGACCUGAGAGGGUGAUCGGCCACACUGGGACUGAGACACGGCCCAGACUCCUACGGGAGGCAGCAGUAGGGAAUCUUCCGCAAUGGACGAAAGUCUGACGGAGCAACGCCGCGUGAGUGAUGAAGGUUUUCGGAUCGUAAAGCUCUGUUGUUAGGGAAGAACAAGUACCGUUCGAAUAGGGCGGUACCUUGACGGUACCUAACCAGAAAGCCACGGCUAACUACGUGCCAGCAGCCGCGGUAAUACGUAGGUGGCAAGCGUUGUCCGGAAUUAUUGGGCGUAAAGGGCUCGCAGGCGGUUCCUUAAGUCUGAUGUGAAAGCCCCCGGCUCAACCGGGGAGGGUCAUUGGAAACUGGGGAACUUGAGUGCAGAAGAGGAGAGUGGAAUUCCACGUGU
rnacentral:rRNA from 1 species